rnacentral:miRNA from 1 species
CUGAGCCACCGACCGCUGAAC